rnacentral:lncRNA from 1 species
AAGGCUUCAGGGAUGAUGUAACUCCUGAUUUGAGUUUUGGUUUUUGUUUGUUUUGCAGUGCUGAGGAUGCCAGACAUGCACUGGUAUCACUGAGCCACAUCCCCAACCCCCAAUUUAUGUUUUUUGUUUAUUUUCAGUACAAGGGAUUGAACCUGGGUCCUUGUAUAUGAUAGGCAGAUGCUCUAUCACUGAGCCACACUAUACCACCAGCCUCUAAGUUGAGUUUUGAAGGCCAUUUACUGGGGGAGGGAAGACAGAAGCAUGCAUCAGAAUAGAGAAUUCCAAGCAAAAGGGACAGCAUAAACAAAAGUAGAAGCAGUCUGGGGUGUAAGUGGAGCUACAAACCCCUUAGUUGAGCUGGAAUACAUGCAUUGGUAAGGUGGCAAGUAUUGGGGGAUAAAGCUGAUGAGGUGGGCAGGGACUGAAUCAUAGAGGUCUCUGUCUUAGAUUUUUAUCACUGUGAUAAUAUACCUGAGAAAAAUCAACUCAAAGGGAGCAAAGGUUUAUUUUUGGUUCAUGGUUUCAGAGGUUUCAGUCCGUGUUUGCUUGGUGAUUUUGCUUUGGGUUUGUGACAAAGUAGUGCAUCAUGGUAGAAGAACCUGGGUGGAGGAAACCUGUUAAUUUCAUGGUGACUAGGAAGAGAGAGAGAGGAAGAGACCUGAUCCCAAUAUUUCCUUCUAGGGCACAACCUCAGUGACCUAACUUCCUUCCACUAGGCCUCACCUCCUGUCAGGUUUCACCACCUCCAAGUAGUGCCAUAGGCUUGCAACCAGUGCAGUGGCACACAUUUAUAAUCCCAGUGACUGAGGAGACUGAGGCAGGAAGAUUGAAAAAGUUCAAGGCCAGUAUUGGCAACUUAGCAAGACCCUGUCUUAACAUUAACAAAAAAAGGCUGGGGAUGUAACUCCCCACUACAAACAAACAAACAAAUAAAAAAUAAAAAUAAAAUAAAAUCCAGGGCUGGGGUUGUGGCUCAGUGGUAGAGCACUUGCCUUGCAUGCAUGAGGC